AGGAAUUGGCGGGGGAGCACCGCAACGGGAGGAGCGUGCGGUUUAAUUGGAUUCAACACCGGAAAACUCACCAGCGAAGACUGUUACAUGAAAGCCAGGCUGAUGACCUUGCUAGAUUUUCAGAGAGGUGGUGCAUGGCCGUCGUCAGUUCGUACCGUAAGGCGUUCUCUUAAGUGAGAUAACGAACAAGACCCUCGCCGAUAGUUGCUACCAUUUCCUCCGGGGAAUGGGCACAUUAUCGGGACCGCUGGCGCUAAGUCAGAGGAAGGAGAGGUCAACGGUAGGUCAGUAUGCCCUGAAUCUCUUGGGCUACACGCGCGCUACAAAGGGCGGGACAAUGGGUCCUUACACCGAAAGGUGGAGGCAAUCUCGAAACCCGUCCGUAGUUCGGACUGAGGGUUGUAACUCACCCUCACGAAGCUGGAUUCCGUAGUAAUCGCGAAUCAACAACUCGCGGUGAAUAUGCCCCUGCUCCUUGCACACACCGC
rnacentral:rRNA from 1 species